rnacentral:rRNA from 1 species
AAACGCUGGCGGCGNUGNUCUUAAGCAUGCAAGNUCGAGCGGCAGGCGCAGCAAUGCGCUGAGAGCGGCGGACUGGNUGAGUAACGCGNUGGGUAAUCUACCUUUGGCAUGGGGAUAGCCACUAGAAAUAGUGGGUAAUACCGAAUACGUUCCCUGGGGGGAGGUUUCAGGGAAGAAAGGGUGCUACGGCACCGGCCAAAGAUGAGCUCGCGUCCCAUUAGCUAGUUGGUGAGGUAACGGCCCACCAAGGCGAUGAUGGGUAGCCGGCCUGAGAGGGUGUACGGCCACACUGGGACUGAGAUACGGCCCAGACUCCUACGGGAGGCAGCAGCUAAGAAUAUUCCGCAAUGGACGAAAGUCUGACGGAGCGACGCCGCGUGGAUGAUGAAGGCCGAAAGGUUGUAAAGUCCUUUUGCCUGGGGAAAGAAUAAGUGUGGGAGGGAGUGCCCCGCCAUGAAUGAACAUGAAACCGGNCGAAAUAAGCCCCCGGNCCAACCUACGUGCCCAGCCAGCCCGNCGGNUAACACGUUAGGGGGGGCGAAGCCGUUUGUUUCGGAAAUUUACNUGGGGNCGUUAAAGGGGCCAUGUUAGG